GUGUGUGUGUGUGUGUGUAGGUGUGUGAGUGGUAAGCGUCAGUGUUCAGGUUGUAAUCAGGCGCUGGGGAAAGGAACAGCUAUGAACAUCGACACGCUGGGCCUGUACUUCCACCUAGCCUGCUUUAAGUGUGGAGUGUGUAAGGUACAGCUUGGUGACACCAGUUCAGGAACAGACGUUAGGAUCCGUAACGGAUUGUUGAGCUGUCACAACUGCUAUGCCACAUCACACGCAGCUGGCCAGCCGACUACGCUGUGAUUGGCUACAGCCUGCAUCUGGAAUCGUUCCCAACGUUCUGGAACGCUGUGGAAUUCUCUUAACUGGACACACAAACUUCUCCCAGAUGAUGUCUUGGAGACUGAACUGUCUGCUGCUAACUGAUGCUAACGGAGGCUAACUGAUGCUAACGGAGGCUAACUGAUGCUAACGGUGGCUAACUGAUGCUAACGAAGGCUAACUGAUGCUAACGGAGGCUAAUGGAGGCUAACGGAGGCUAAUGGAGGAUAACGGAGGCAAACUGAUGCUAACGGAGGCUAAUGGCUAACAGAGGCUAACUGCUAACUGCUAGCAUUAUAGCUGAUCAACCAGUUUUUCCCAGACUGACUGAGCACAGAGACCUGAAGCACAACCACUGAUCUACAACAGCACACUCAGACACAUGCUACAUGCUAGCACCAGCAGCAGUCGGCAUGUAGUAGCUACCUACCUUACUGUCAAAUCAGCUAAAUGAUAAAUGCUAACGGAUGCUAUCUGCUAAAUGCUACUGUUCACUCACCAUCAUAAUGCCUUAAUAACUCUGUUUUGUUUUGUGUUUUAAGUAUUUUGCA